GGGGAGGGGGGAUAGUAGAGGAUAGGAAAGGCAGCAGAAUACAACAGACACUAGUAUGGCAAUAUGUAAAUCAAUGGAUGUGUAACUGAUGUGAUUCUGCAAUCUGUAUAUGGGGUAAAAAUGGGAGCUCAUAACCCACUUGAAUCAAAUUGUGAAAUAUGAUAUAUCAAGAACUAUGUAAUGUUUUGAACAGCCAACAAUAAAAAAAUUUAAAAAAAAAAAAUAAUAAUACUAGUGAAAGAAAUCUAAAAUUCAGUGCAAUACUCAUCAAAAUACUAAUGAUAUGCUACACAGUACUAGAAAUAAUCCUAAAACUCAUAUGAAAGUACAAAAUUACUCAAUGGCCAAAGAAAUUCUGAACAAAUAGAGCAAUGCUUCAGACAUCACAAUGCCUAAUUUCAAAAUAUACUAUAGAUCGAUGGUAAAAACCAAUACAUACACCAGAGGAAUUAAACAAUACCAUAUUUCACCAUUGCAGAUUUUAUGACAAUUUUUUUUGCAAAAAAAAAAAAAAUGGGGUGCAACCAUUAUGUGAAACUUUUUAAAAAAAUAUACCAGUAUUACUUAAACAUAUUACUAAACUUUCUUUGGUGUAAGAUUCAAAUGCAAAGAACACUCAUGAAUAUAUGUUAAUGUGUUGUUGACAAUUAUGCAGUGACUGGUAAACUCUUAUCUACAGCCAAGUGAUUCUCAACAAAGGUACAAAAAAUACUUAUUGAAGAAAAGAUAAGCCUUUCAACAAAAGGUGCUGGAGAAGAGAUCAUUCACAUGUAAAAGAUUGUAAGGAGACCCAUCUCUCUCACCCUGUACAAAAAUAAGCUCAAAGAGAUGGAAUACCUUAAUGUAAGUCCUGAAACUUUGAAACUACAAGAAAACACCAGGGAAGUGCUUCAAGGUAUUGUCACGGGUCAGGUACAGUGGCAUACAUCUAUAAUCCCAGCAGCCUGGUAGGCUGAGACAGGAGGAUUACAAAUUCAAGGCUAGCCUCAGCAAUUUAGCAGAUCCUAUCUCAAAAUGAAAAAUAAAAUGGGCUGGAGAUGUAGCUCAGAGAUUAAGUGCCCCAGGUUCAAUCUGGACUAGAUAGAUAGAUAGAUAGACAGAUGAUAGAUAAAUAGGCAGAAGGAACAAUUUCCUGAACAGGACUCCAAUAGCUCAGGAACUAGAAAUAUUGACAAACGGGAUUACAACAAAUUAAAAAGCUUCUGCACAACAAAAGAAACAGAGUGAAGAAACAACCCAUUAAAUGAGAGAGAAUAUUUGCCAACUAUUUAUCUGACAUAGAAUUAAUAUCGAGAAUAUAAAAGAAAAAAAAACUUCACAAAAGAACAAGUAACCCAAUCAACAAAUGCACAAAUGACAUGAACAGACACAUCUCAAUGGCCAAUAAGUCUACAAAAAAGUCCUCAAUACCUUUUGUCAUCAGGAAAACAUAAAACUGCACUGAGAUUCCAUUUUAUUCCAGUUAGAAUGGCUUUUACACACACACACACACACACACACACCACAUCUGACAAAGAUGUGGAGAAAAAAGAAAACUAAAUAUAUUGUUGGUGGGAAUAUAAAUUGGUACAUCCAUUACAGAAAACAGUACAGAGGUUCCUCAAAAAACUAAAACUUGCUUUAUAAGAUGAUCCAGAUAAGUGCAUUCCUGGGUACUCAUCUGAAGGAAAUGAAUUCAGCCUAUAAAAGACAUACCUGCAUACUCGUGUUUACUGCAGCAGUAUUCAUGAUAGCCAAGGUGCCCAUCAAUAGACACUUUGGCUUGAAAAGAAAAUGUGGUACAUAUAUACAAAGAACAUUAUUUAGCCAUAAAUAAGGGAACCAUGUCAUUUGCAUGAAAAUGAAUGGAAAUGCAGGACAUCCUGUUUAGGGAAAUCAGGCAGACACAGAAAGAUGAGCAUCACACAUUUUCUCACAUAUGGAAACUUAGACCAGGGAGUAGAAGAUGACUAUUAGAGAAAGGGAGAAGGAUCAGAUGGGUGAAGACUGAAAGAAGGAAGGGCAAGACAGAGUAAAAGGAAGUAAAAGUUUUAUAAAAGGAAGGGUAGACAUACUCAAAGAUGAUAAAUUUAUAUAUGGUGAUGUCAUAG
rnacentral:lncRNA from 1 species